GACCGGUGGGAUGCAGACGUGGAAUGUCCAGGUCAGAACCAGCACGACAGAGGGACACGCAAGGUGAGCCAGGGAAGUGAGGUGGGAGCAAAUAGAGCCCCAGGUGGGGAGUUUAUGCCAGUGACCUGGAAGCCCCUUGUAGCAACCAGCAGUGCUGGGCAGGCGUGCGCCCUCUGUCCCCAGGGAUGAGGCCGGUUUGCUGGAUCCCAAAUCUUAAGCUGGUACACAGCCCACAUCGCUUCUUUUAAUACAGUUAUGAAUCCAUGAAAUGAUUAUGUGUUAUCCUUAAGAUUAUUGCAAGUACAGACAUUGUGUAUGCUUCCUCUUGGGGUUGACUUAUUUGGAUUUUUAAAUAUGAAAUGUGCAGGUUCCAUAAAUUUGAAUUAGCUGAAGAUAGUUCGGAUUUUUUUUUAUAAGUGGCUUUUCAUAUGUAAAAAAUGAAUUUGAGAAAUCAGCUGGUAAUCUCUCUGUUCUCUUCAAAAUGGCAUUUGAAUUUGGCAGGAAAAGAAUAUUGCUAUCGCCUUGUUUCUAAAGAUCCUCUGUAGAUACACUCACUUUAAAAACUAUUGAAAAAAUAUUUCUCUAUUUUCUUCAGAUCAAUAAUUUUGAAGGGAUUCAAACAUACAUUUGAAAAUGUGACAAAACCUUUUCUCCAGGCAGGUACUCUACUGAAGAAAAAUCACUCUGAUCAGAAUCUUGACGAGCCUGAGAGCAGAGGUUUCAGAGGGAUGAUAAGCUUUCAGGGAAGGUCACUGUUGAUUUUACUCUUGAUGCCUUCUAUGCAAUGGCUGGCUUGA
rnacentral:lncRNA from 12 species